rnacentral:rRNA from 1 species
ACCGAAAGGUUGGUAGAGGAGCAUUGCAUGCGGAACGAAGCAGUACCGAAAGGAGCUGUGGACUGCAUGGAAGAGAGAAUGCCGGAAUGAGUAGCGAGAUAGAGGUGGGAAUCCUCUAGGCCGAAUAUCCAAGGUUUCCAGAGUAAAGCUGAUCUGCUCUGGGUAAGUCGGGGCCUAAGGCGAGGACGAGAGUCGUAGCCGAUGGACAACAGGUGGAGAUUCCUGUACUGCGGUAUGACAGAACUGUGGGGACACGUAAGGAAAGCGGAAGCCGGGAAUGGAAAGCCCGGUGCAAGCGGGGUACCAGUCACUUUGGCAAAUCCGGGUGGCAAUGGGAAGCCGUGAUGCGGAGCGAAAUAAAGUAGCGAAGUCCGUGAGCCAUGCGUCAAGAAAAGCCGCUAUUGUUUAUACCGUACCCGUACCGUAAACCGACACAGGUGGAUGAGGAGAGAAUCCUAAGGCCGGCGGAAGAAGCAUUGUCAAGGAACUCGGCAAAAUGGCCCCGUAACUUAGGGAUAAGGGGUGCCUGGGAAACCAGGCCGCAGAGAAUAGGCUCAAGCAACUGUUUAGCAAAAACACAGGUCUAUGCGAAACCGAAAGGUGAGGUAUAUGCUGACGCCUGCCCGGUGCUGGAAGGUUAAGAGG